AUGGUCUCUCUACAGGUGGAGAGCUGGAAAAGGAAAGCCACAGAGACAUGCUCCUCCAGUAACCAGCUGCUAGCUGCAGCUAGAAGAAAGUCCCAGCAGGACAAUAAGGAACAGGAAGGGAUGCCAAAGGUUUGGCCAGUGCAUGAUGAAGUUUAGAUCCGUUGACGAGCCACAUGGAGAUGGUAACAGAGAUCGUGGUUCCUACAGUGUGUACUCUCUGUAUUCUCCUGGCUGCGGUCUUCCUCAU